rnacentral:tRNA from 1 species
AUAGCUCAGUUGGUAGAGUGCUUGCCUUGCACGCACAAGGCCCUGGGUUCGAUUCCCCAGU